rnacentral:lncRNA from 1 species
AUGAAUUCAGGAAGGCCUGAGACCAUGGAAAACUUGCCUGCACUGUAUACUAUUUUUCAAGGAGAGGUUGCUAUGGUGACAGAAUUAUCAAAAUCCCAGGCUGUAGGAAGCAAGGUCUGGUUCAUCGAACUCCCAUGUCGUCCUGUCGAGUGGAUAAGCCUUCUGCAAUAGUGGAUGUUGGAGACAAAGUGUGGGUGAAGCUUAUUGGCUGAGAGAUGAAAAAUGAUAGAAUAAAAGUGUCCCUCUCCAUGAAAGUUGUCAACUAAGGUACUGGGAAAGACCUCAACAACAACAUUGUCAUUGAGCAAGAAGAGAGGCACAGUCAGUCCUUCAGGAUUACACUGGGCAGAAGAUCACCCUUGAGGCCGUCCUGAACACAACCUGCAAGAAGUGUGGCUGCAAAGGCCACUUUGCAAAGGACUGUUUCAUGCAGCCAGGUGGAACCGAGUAUUCUCUGACCCCUGAAGAGGAAGAGGAAAAAGAGGAGACAAAGGCAAAAGGACUUGAGAAGCCUGAUCCCACAAAGAAUUCGUCCAGGAAGAGAAAGAAGGAAAAGAAAAAAAAGAAACAUAGAGACAGGAGGUCAUCUGAUUGUGAAAGCUCUGACUCUGAGAGUGACACGGGCAAGAAGAUGAGGCAUUCAUCAAAAGACAGCAAGGCCACCAAGAAGAAAAAGAAGAAGCAGCAGCACAAGGAA